CUUCCAGCUGCAGGAGAUGAAGGUUUUAAAAAUGCUGCCAUGGAAGACUUCUGGCUUUCACACUAUGCUCUCAGUUGAUGGGUGGCUGAUCUGAACCUGUCAUUUUCUUCUUUUGUGGUUCCAAUUACAGCUAAAGACAACUAACCAACUCUACAGACCUUUGCUACCAUAUUGCUCAAGUGCCAGAGCUAUUGCAUAAGCUGAUGUGUCUACUUCCAGAGGACUCCAUCUCCGUUCACUGCAGAGGAGGAUCUUACAGAACUCAACUGCAAAAUGAGUAUGACGAGAAUCUUACAGAAUCUUUCAGAACUCCACUCAACACCAACUAUAGGGUCUUGUCACCAUUAGACUGCUGUGGGUGAUGCAAAGCUCUUCUGGAAAUUAAGCCACCCUCAGAGGAUGAAGACUCGCCACCUCCAUUGGAAGCUUGGGUUCCAGGAGAAGCAGUGAGGAAGAAACAGCAAAUGGCCUUGGCGUUAGGGGCUGGAGCUGUCUGUUUGGUGGUAGAAGAGAUUGGACAUCCCAGCUGCCUCUUGGAUGCCCCCUUAGCUUCCCAGGGAGCAGCUGAUGUGGCUGGAGUGCAGUGGCACGACCUUGGCUUACCACAACCUCAGUCUCCUGGAUUCAAGCGAUUCUCCUGCCUCUGCUUCCGGAGUAGCUGGGAUUACAGGCAUGUGCCACCAUGCCCAGCUUUUAACACAGUGUCAGGCAGCAGGAAGGCCCUCACCAGAUGCCAGUACCUUGAUCUUGGACUUCUCAACUUCCAAAACUGUGAGAAAU
rnacentral:lncRNA from 13 species